rnacentral:rRNA from 1 species
AGUGAACGCUGGCGGUAGGCCUAACACAUGCAAGUCGAACGGCAGCACAGUAAGAGCUUGCUCUUACGGGUGGCGAGUGGCGGACGGGUGAGGAAUACAUCGGAAUCUACUUUUUCGUGGGGGAUAACGUAGGGAAACUUACGCUAAUACCGCAUACGACCUACGGGUGAAAGCAGGGGAUCUUCGGACCUUGCGCGAUUGAAUGAGCCGAUGUCGGAUUAGCUAGUUGGCGGGGUAAAGGCCCACCAAGGCGACGAUCCGUAGCUGGUCGGAGAGGAUGACCGGCCCCACUGGAACGGAGACACGGUCCAGACUCCUACGGGAGGCAGCAGUGGGGAAUAUUGGACAAUGGGCGGAAGCCUGAUCCAGCCAUACCGCGUGGGUGAAGAAGGCCUUCGGGUUGUAAAGCCCUUUUGUUGGGAAAGAAAAGCAGCAGGUUAAUACCCCGCUGUUCUGACGGUACCCAAAGAAUAAGCACCGGCUAACUUCGUG